rnacentral:rRNA from 1 species
GUGCCAGCAGCCGCGGUAAUACGUAGGUGGCAAGCGUUGUCCGGAUUUAUUGGGCGUAAAGCGCGCGCAGGCGGUCCGUUUAGUCCGAGGUGAAAUCUCUCGGCUCAACCGGGAUAGGUCUUUGGAUACUGGCGGACUUGAGGAGAGCAGAGGUGAGUGGAAUUCUGGGUGUAGUGGUGAAAUGCGUAGAUAUCCAGAGGAACACCAGCGGCGAAGGCGGCUCACUGGGCUCCACCUGACGCUGAGGCGCGAAAGCGUGGGUAGCGAACCGGAUUAGAUACCCCGGUAGUCC